rfam:Triticum aestivum genome assembly, contig: Triticum_aestivum_CS42_TGACv1_scaffold_578412_7BL
CUUGUACUCCCUCCGUCCGAAAAUACCUGUCAUUGAAACGGAUGUAUCUAGUUGUAUUUUAGUUCUAGACACAUCCAUUUUGAUGACAAGUAAUUCUGGACGGAGGGAGUACUUG